UACGUAGGGCGCUAGCGUUGUCCGGAUUUAUUGGGCGUAAAGAGCGUGUAGGCGGCCAGGUAGGUCUGCUGUGAAAACUCGAGGCUCAACCUCGAGACGUCGGCGGAAACCAUCUGGCUAGAGUCCGGAAGAGGAGAGUGGAAUUCCUGGUGUAGCGGUGAAAUGCGCAGAUAUCAGGAAGAACACCCGUGGCUAAGGCGGCUCUCUAGUACGGUACUGACGCUGAGACGCGAAAGCGUGGGGAGCGAACAGG
rnacentral:rRNA from 1 species